AUGCGCCUGCCGCUGAGCGGACCUCUGGGACCUAGGGCUUCUGGACGCCGCCUUCGUUCUGGGCACCAUGUGUUCGGAGCACACCACGCGGUAUCAGGGUCACAGCUACAGAGAAGGAAGCAGAUGUUUGGUGAUUAGGGUCAUCCAGUGGGCUCAGGCUGACACCACACCGUGCCCUCCCCACUCAGUCCCCCAGCUUUCCAAAGGUGAGCAGGGCCUUGGUGUGUGAAUGACCCGGAGAGAUGGACUGGAUUCAUUGCCCUGAGCACCAAUGCCAGUGAGUGCCUGGCAGCCAAUUCCUUUGUAGAGAGACAGCCCAGAGACUCAGCUCUGCCUGGAGAGAUAUAACUGGCAGUGCCAGGUUGGGACUUCCAGGAAUGCUUUUCAAAAGGGAAAGAUCUGUCUGGCAUGCACCGUUUUUCCUUUGGAACAUUGAUAUGAUGCCUGGAAAGUCAGCAAUGAGUCCCGAAGAUAAAAGCCGCACACUAAGACUACUGAAGCAGAAAUAAAAGGCUGGAUCCUUAAUGAUGGUAAGCCCAGGUCUGUCUACCUCUAGACCUCUCUUGCAGCUUGAGAAUGUCCCAGUUAAGCCACUUUAAAAUUUCUUUUUUCUGCAGCCCAACACUUUGCUAAGAGGUACAGAAAAGAAAGGAAAUAAAACACACAUCAUUAUGGAUAUUGUGUAAUGUAUCUUUCAGGAACAUUUUUUGAAUGUUUCAUAAUACAGCAAUAAUCAAGCUAUUCUGGCUAAAAGGCGGAGGAGACAUUUGGCCUGAGUUGUGAGGGAAACAUCCAAAAUUAUCCCUGAAUAUAUGGCCAUUUCCUCACAAUGAAAAUGAAGGUGAAAUGUGACAUAUACAGUAGAGGAUGUGACUCUGAACCCAGCCUAGGGAACACAAGUCAAAUUAGGUUGUUUAGUUUGUCCUUUCAUUGACAUCCACCCUCCUCCUCAGUUCCUAUUCCCAGGUCCUUCUGGAACAAGAUAAAGCCAGCUGCUUAGUUUCUGAGGAUCUCACCACCAAGAAGGAGGAAGCAGCUAGAGAGAGAAUUUGUUUUAAUCUAAAAGAAGUUGAGUAGAAAAUACAAUAUCGUCAUCCAUAAACCCCCUCCCUCACAAAGUCCUUCCUCACAAUAUAGAAUACAAACCUACCCAUCAUUUCACACAAGUAACAGUAACCUUCCCCCUCCAUAAAUGCUGUCCGUGUAGGUUGCCCCAGAUCUACCUGUUAGGAGGGAAAAAACGACUCAGGAGUACUUGCACUGGAUCUUGAAUCUUGCUAUGGUCAGUCUUUCCAUUAACAAACUCUCUCCCCUUCAACACAGCUCUUAGUUGGUAAGGCUCCUGAAUCCACCCUCCAUAGGAUGGUCCUCCAUGUCCAGCCUCCUGCUUACUUCCAGCCUUAUUACCUGCCACUCUCCACAAAUUUUACUUUCUAGCAUAUCAAACUGUGUAGAAAUCCUUGCAUAUGCCACAUUGCCUGUCACCACUGUAGUUUUUAAAAUGCUGUUCCCUCUCCCUAGAAUGGCUUUCCCUUUUUAGUUUUGGCUAUCUGUUGCUGUGAACAACUACACCAAAACUUAGAGGCAUACUACAACAGCCAAUAUAUUUGCUCAUAAUUUAGGGGGUCAGGAAUUUGGGCAGGGCUUAGCUGGCUGGUUCUUCUUUUCCAUGUGGCAUUCCCUGAGGUCACUCACUAGGUCACAUUCAGCUGGUGUCUUGGCUGGGCUGGGAGGUCAAAGAAGACUUUACUCCCAUGUGUGGUCGCCCAUUAUUCCUCUACAUGAUAUUGCUCUGUCCACGUGGCCAGCUUGGACUUUCUCACAGUGGGAUUAGUAUUAGGGAAGACAGACUUCCUACAUAGUACCACAAAGAUGUGUCUCAAAAGUAGAAAGCAAAAGCUGCAUAUCUCUUAAGCCAGCCUUGGAAGUAAUACAGUGUCACUUCUAUUACAUUCUGUCAGCCAACACAAGUCAUAGGACCAGCCUAUGACUCAUGGGGAGGAGAAACAGACUCUAACAUUCAAUGCAGUAAAUUGCAAAGAGUUUGCAGCCAUUUAUAAUAUACCAUCUUCUGUAAUGUAGUAGGUGCAUUUACAAUAUAACAAACUAUAAUAACACCUAUCUUCUUGGCAAACUCCUAAUUAUCAUUCAGAUUCAACUAAGCUAGCAACUUGCAGCAAAUCCUGCUUCCCCAAUGUUUAUUUCUCUUUUUCCUUAAACUUCUGACUUAGUUGGACAUAUGGCUGCUCAGAAUACUCUAUUUGCCAGCCUUCCUGGUAGCUAUAUAUGGCCAUAUACCCAUGUUCUGACCAGUGGUAUAUAAACAGAGGUGUCAAAUGUGACUUCUGGGAAAUGUCCAUAAUGGAGGUGUUGUGUUCCUCCUUAUUUCUUCCUUCCUGUUGGAUGGAAUGAGGAUGUGAUGGCUGGGGUUUGAGCAGCCAUUUUGGACCACUAAAUGAGAGCCAUAUACUGAGAAUAGCAGAAAAAUAACAGAAAAAUAGCUUGAGUCUCUGACACCUUUGGAGAACCAUACCAGCCAAAAAUUGUGACUCUAGAUUUCUUAAAUGAGAGAGAAAUAAAGAUCUAUCUUCUUUCUUUGCAGGAAGGGGAGAUGAGGGCAGUCUGUCUCACGCAGCCAAACCUAAUCCUAAUUUAUAUGCUCUCAUUAGUUAUCUAUUGCUACGAAACCAGUUGCCCCAAAAUCUAGUAACUUAAAACAAUAAACAUUUAUUAUUACUCCCAGCUUUUGUGGAACAGGAAUUCAGAAGCAGCUUGGCUAGGCAGGUUCCACUUGGAGUCACUCUUGCAGUAGUAGCCAAGCUGCUAGCUGGGAUUGCAGUCAUCACAAGGCUUUGCUAGGGCGGAAAGAUCAGUUUUUAAAGCUUGGUCACUCCCUUGUCUGUGCUGGCAGUGAGUGGGAGGCCUCUGCUUUUCUCCACAUAGAUCUCUCCCUGGGCCACUUCAGUGUUCUCAUGAUAUUGCAGCUGGGAACCCCUCACCCUUCCCCACUAAAGCAAGCCAUCCUAGAGAACAAAGCAGAAUAAAUAUUAUCUUUUAUGGCAUAGCCAUCAAAGUCACACUAUCCCUUCUGUGAUAUCUUAGUGGCCACACAGGCCAAUUCAGCAUGGAAGAGAACUAAUACACACAAAGGUGUGAAUUCCAGUAGACAAGGAUCUUUUGUGGGGCAGGCAACCCAAAGGCUGGCUACCAUAUCCCUGCUUCCCUAACAGACCCCCUUAUGUGUUCAUGUGGCAGGUGGUGAUGCCUCAGUCUCAGGAAAAAGUAUGUUCAUAUCACAUUCUCUGGGGUAAAUUAUGUUGCUUCUAGACUUGCCAUUGUCAUUAAAUUUGUUGGCUUAGCUUUCUGUGUUUUUCACAAUUUACCAGACUCACAGAGCAGUUUGAAGAUAGGGAGGCUCACAUUUAAACAUCCUUUUUUCCCCCCCCAUAUUUCCUAUAACUUCUGAGUUGAGCAACAAUCAUUGAAUUUUAUGCUUUUGUCAAAAUAAGUUGUCAGAAACUGGUCCAGAUCUAUUAGAAUGCAACAUCAUUCUCGCUGACCCGGCAUUCACCUUAUGGUGCAGGGACCAGAGGGGGCCUGGCAAACAGACAUAAAUCCAGAGAUCUAUAAUUCCGUAUCCCCUGAAGAAGUGGUCAUAAAGUCCAUCACUCCAGAUAUAUGGGGAGAGGGAGACAAAGGGCAACCCGGAUGAGUUUCAGAAGGACUGUAAAACAGAAAAAGAGAUCUCACUAACUGCGUCACUCUCCGCAUAUGCAAGCCAGGCAGGGACACAAUUUAUGGUAGGCUGCCGACUGGCCGGCAGGCACGAACGUCCCUGUCUCCCACGCCCACCAUCUUGAGUGUUCGUCAGCCUCUGUGAGUGAUGCUGUCAGCCCUAGAGGAAAUGGUGCCACAUUUGGAGUCUAAACUUAUGGGUGUUUAACAACAGAAUGUACGUCAGACACAUGUUUCAAAUCCAGCAGCCCAGAAUCUGCCAGGAUCCCCAAAUUCCAUCACCUGCGACAGAGCCAUUUUGCACCUGCACACAGAGCUCAGGCUCGCUUUCUCAGCCUCCCGCCCAGGUUCCUUGCUUCGCUGCACCUCCUUCCUGUCUGUGAAAUUGAUCUCAGGUUUUCUUGUUAACAAGGUCUGUGAUUUUUUUUUUUUUUAGUAGACUGAAACAAAACCACUUGCUAUAUGAAAAAGAGGGGUAGGUAAUAAAAAAGAUGGUCAAGAAUGUUCAAAAUGCCUGGAGAAAACAAUUCUGAAUAUAAGAAUUUAUACUGCCUGUUUUCUAUGAUACAAUAAUAAAAAUAGGAAUUUAUAAAGGCUGCUUCCACUGUAGCUCUGAAUGGUGGUGGUCCAGUUACUAUGGCUGCGUAACAAAUUACCCCAAUAUGUUUUUGACUUAAAACAUGUGUCUGCUUUGCUUAUAGAUUUUAAGGGUGAGGAACCUGGGCACAGCAGGGAUGGCUUAUUUCUGUUCCACAAUACUCACCUUGUCCAGGGGCUGGAAUCAUGACAAAGUUGUCACUCUCAUAACUCAGUUAAUGCUCAUCCUAGCUGGGAUGAGACCCAGCUGGGACUGUUGGCCAGCUGCAGCCUGGGCUUUUUCACAACACUGUGGCUUUAUUCCAAAGGUGAGUAUCCCAAGGGCCAUGUGGCCUUCAUUGACCAAGCUUCAGAAGUCAAGUGGUGUCAUUUCCUUCUCAUUUUAUUCAUUAAGAUAAUUACAAGGUUGCUCAGAUUCAAGGGGAGGGAUCAUAGAUGCCACCACUUGAAGGAGGAGCGUCAACAUUACAUUUUUUUUCUUUUUGAGACAGGGUCUUGCUCUGUCUCCCAGGCUGGAGUGCAGUGGCACAAUCAUGAUUCACUGCAGUCGCAAUCUCCUAGGCUCAAGCCGUCCUCCCGCCUCAGCCUCCCAAGUAGCUGGGACUACAGGUGUGCACCACCAUACCUGGCUAAUUUUUUUAUUUGUUUUUAGAGAGAAAGUCUCACUAUGUUGCCCAGGCUGGUCUCCAACUCCUGAGUUAAGCAAUUCCUCCACCUUGGCCUUGGAAAGUGCUGGGAUUACAGGUGUGAGCCAUAGUGCUUGGACUCAACAUUACAUUUUAAGAAAACAUGGGACAAGGUAUAAAUUGGUGUGGUGAUGUGUUAGAGUUUUCCAGAGAAACAGAAGCAAUAGGAUGUGUGUGUAUAUAGAAAGAGAUUUAUUUUAAGAAAUUGCCUCACAUGAUUAUAAAAGGCUAGCAAGUCCAAAAUCUAUAGGGUGGGCUGGCAGGCUGGAGACCCAGGAAGAGUUGAUGUUGCCGUUGAAGCCCGAAGACCAUCUGCUAGAGAAUUCCCUCUUGUUGGGGGAGGUCAGCCUUUUGUUCUAUCAAGGCCUUUAACCGAAUGAGGCCUACCCACAUUAUGGAGGGCAAUCCACUUUACUCAAAGGCCAACUGUUUAUUCAUUUGGUUACUUAUUUAUUUAUUGAGACAGGGUCUUAUUCUGUCACCCAGGCUGGAGUACAGUGGCCUGAUCAUGGCUCACUGCAGCCUUGACCUCCUGAACUCAAGUGAUCCCACCUCAGCCUCCCAAGUAUCUGGGACUACAGGCACAUGUUACUACACCCAGCUAAUUGUUUGUAUUUUUUAUAGAGUUGGGGAUCUCACCAUAUUGCCCAGACUGGUCUCAAAUGCCUGGGCUCAAGCCAUCGUCCUACCUCCCCUUGGUCUCCCAAAGUGCUGGGAUUACAGGUGUGAGCCACCAAUUUAAAUGUAAAUCUCAUCCAAAAACAUCCUCACAGAAAUAUCCAGAAUAUGUUUGUUUUUUGGGGUUUUUUUUUUUUUGAGAUGGAGUUUUCUCCAUUGCUCAGGCUGGAGUGCAGUGGCGUGAUCUCAGCUCACUGCAACCUCCGCCUCCAGGGUUCAAGCGAUUCUCCCACCUCAGCCUCCUGAGUAGCUAGGAUUACAGGCGCCUGCCACCAUGUCUGGCUAAUUUUUGUAUUUUUAGUAGAGACAGGCUUUUACCAUGUUGGCCAGGCUGGUGUCCAACUCCUGACCUCAAGUGAUUUGCCUGCCUCAGCCUCCUAAAGUGCUGGGAUUACAGGUAUGAGCCUCUGUGCCCAGCCCCAGAAUAUGUUUGACCAAAUAUCUGGGCACCAUAGCCCACAUAUAUUCAUACGUAAUAUUAAACAUCACACAUGCAUGCCUUGUCAACUUGGCACCCAUACGCAUCUCCUUAACCCAUACUUAAUCUCCAAGUAAACACAAUAACAAGGUCAUAAUUCCACCUAAGAUGAUACAACUGUCCUGUGUACACUGGAAAACACACUAGCUC
rnacentral:lncRNA from 1 species